CUGGGAUACCAAAUGGCCGCCUCCCUCGGUAUUGUUUUGUCGUUGGUGCUAGUUUUUAUCUUCAAUAAUUAUGCUGAUGAAAAAUAUGGAAGCAAAAUGAGAUAAAGUUGAUUAUAGUCUAAUCAACAUUAGACUUUAAUCAAUUGGGAUGAAAUGGACUUUUUAGAAAUACUUGAGAAGCUGCGUCCAGGCGCUUUGUUUCAUUUUCGCUCCUCGCGUUGCCGCCAAGGAGUUGAAGGAGUCCCGUAAACUGCGUUAUAAUUGUUAUGCUCAAUUAGAUAUGCAAACGGAUCUACGUCCAUUAUACGUUUUUGUAUAAUAACAUAAUUUUGUAGUACAAGCCCAACCUCUAUUGUAAAUUGAGAAAUGAAAAUAUAUGAGAUGGAUUAUUAUUAAGUCAAUUUGGGAAUAUGUUUUUUUUUCUUAUAACAUUUUUUUCAUUUUCCACGAGUCCAAUUAAAACUAUGUACUUUUACAGUUUAA